AGCGAACGCUGGCGGCAGGCUUAACACAUGCAAGUCGAGCGGGCAUCCUUGUGGUGUCAGCGGCAGACGGGUGAGUAACGCGUGGGAACGUGCCCUUCGGUUCGGAAUAACUCAGGGAAACUUGAGCUAAUACCGGAUACGUGCGAGAGCAGAAAGGUUUAUCUGCCGAAGGAUCGGCCCGCGUCUGAUUAGCUAGAUGGUGAGGUUAUGGCUCACCAAGGCGACGAUCAGUAGCUGGUCUGAGAGGAUGAUCAGCCACACUGGGACUGAGACACGGCCCAGACUCCUACGGGAGGCAGCAGUGGGGAAUAUUGGACAAUGGGGGCAACCCUGAUCCAGCCAUGCCGCGUGAGUGAUGACGGCCUUAGGGUUGUAAAGCUCUUUUCUCCGGGACGAUAAUGACGGUACCGGAGGAAUAAGCCCCGGCUAACUUCGUG
rnacentral:rRNA from 1 species